GAUGAAGAACGUAGCGAAAUGCGAUAAGUAAUGUGAAUUGCAGAAUUCAGUGAAUCAUCGAAUCUUUGAACGCACAUUGCGCCCAUUAGUAUUCUAGUGGGCAUGCCUGUUCGAGCGUCAUUAAGUCCACUUAAGCCCUGCUUAGUGUUGGGAGACUGCUCCAGCGGUGCUACCCUGUAGCUACCCUGCAGCUCCUCAAAGGCAGCGGCGGAGUUGUGGUAUCCUCUGAGCUUAGUAACUUGUUCUAGCUUUCGAGUACACCACUUCCCCUGCCGUAAAACCCUUAAUUUUUAAUGGUUGACCUCGGAUCAGGUAGGAAUACCCGCUGAACUUAAGCAUAUCAAUAAGCGGAGGA
rnacentral:misc_RNA from 1 species